CGGGUCACCAGGCCUGAGGAGGAAUGUUGCGUAAAGGGAAAGGCCGCAGUUAAGCCCUUCAGCCACGCGUACCCUAAGUGUGCCUCGAAUAGGCAAGCCCAACUAACGGAGGGUUUUGUCUCCACGGAGGGUGUCAGACCCGUGUGGGCGCGUGCAGAUGCUGAAUGGGUGCGGCUUGUGUUCCCUGAGAGUCGCGUUGCUUGGGAAUGCAGCGCUAAGCAGGUCGUAAACUCGAUCUAAGGCUAAAUAUCUCCACAGGACCGAUAGUGAACAAGUACCGUGAGGGAAAGUUGAAAAGGACUCUGAAGAGAGAGUCAAAAGACCGUGAAACCGCUCACAGUAUAAGCCGAUGGAGUCUGGAAGGCAUUCGGUAAAGGUGCUCACCCAUUAGGGUGGAAGUGAAUACAUUUGGUCCAAUGACUAAGGUUCGCCUGGUGUGUGAGCAAAACGCACCUACGUGCAUGUUUUCAGUAUCGAGAAACUGUUGAAUCUCGUUAUCUGUCAGCAAAAGCGCGGGCGCUCAAAGUCUGCUGGACUUAGCCGAAAUUGCCCACCACGACACGUUGUGAGGUCACCCGCAGGCUCUCCAGAUGCCGUUGCGAUAUUCUUGUCCUGGGGUCCAGAUUCGUGUCGGAGAUGAUCCAAUGAAGAGGAUAGAAUCCUCACUUGGAUUGACACGAGAACUCGAGGGCUUGAAACGGGCGGUAGUCAGAGGUAAACCUGGUAUGAUCCUCUUACGACGAGUUGAUAUCUGGUCAGUAAGUUGCGCACGCGUACUCUCAUGUGCCGAGAGGACGAGCAAAAAAUGCAAGUCGUAUGUACCCUCUGGUAGUUGAACCAAGGUCUCGACU
rnacentral:rRNA from 1 species